rnacentral:tRNA from 1 species
GCGGGUGUAGUUCAGUGGUAGAAUGUCUCGUUGCCAACGAGAAGGUCGAGAGUUCAAAUCUCUUCACCCGCUCAA